rnacentral:rRNA from 1 species
AGCGAACGCUGGCGGCAGGCCUAACACAUGCAAGUCGAGCGCCCAGCAAUGGGAGCGGCAGACGGGAUAGUAACACGUGGGAACGUACCUUUCAGUUCGGAACAACCAAGGGAAACUUUGGCUAAUACCGAAUACGCCCGUAAGGGGAAAGAUUUAUCGCUGAAAGAUCGGCCCGCGUCUGAUUAGCUAGUUGGUGAGGUAAUGGCUCACCAAGGCGACGAUCAGUAGCUGGUCUGAGAGGAUGAUCAGCAUCACUGGGACUGAGACACGGCCCAGACUCCUACGGGAGGCAGCAGUGGGGAAUAUUGGACAAUGGGCGCAAGCCUGAUCCAGCCAUGCCGCGUGAGUGAUGAAGGCCUUAGGGUUGUAAAGCUCUUUCGUCAGGGAAGAUAAUGACGGUACCUGAAGAAGAAGCCCCGGCUAACUUCGUGCCAGCCGCCGCCGUAAUAC